UGUGGGGUUCGUGUUGCUUAUUCGUUAGUUUUCUAUGUUGCGUCAUGUGUACUAUUGUUUGUCUGUUUGUCUUUUUCAUUUUUAGCCAUGGCGUUGUCAGUUUAUUUUCGAUUUAUGAGUUUGACUGUCCCUCUGGUAUCUUUUGUCCCUCUUUUUUAAUGGAUGCAAGUUCAGAAACUGUAACAACUGAAUGGUUGUAUCUGUAAGCCAGCAUAUUCUC
rnacentral:lncRNA from 1 species